rnacentral:misc_RNA from 1 species
GUGAAUAUAGCGCAUCUCUUCGGAGAGCGUGACCUCCGCUUUCAACUCUGUGCAUUUUUUGGCGAGGGAACGAGACGAAGCGACGCAAGUUGCAGACUCUCGCCUCUUGCGGCUCAUUUUAAACACUAGCUAAAGUAUGUAACGAAAUAUCGAAACAAAAA